GCCGUGGUGGUGAAAUUGGUAGACACGCCAGCUUGAGGGGCUGGUGUCUGAAAGGACGUGCGGGUUCAAGUCCCGCCCACGGCACCA
rnacentral:tRNA from 1 species